UACGAAGGGGGCUAGCGUUGCUCGGAUUGACUGGGCGUAAAGGGCGCGUAGGCGGUUCGUACAGUCAGACGUGAAAUUCCUGGGCUCAACCUGGGGGCUGCGUUUGAUACGUGCGGACUUGAGUGCGGAAGAGGGUCGUGGAAUUCCCAGUGUAGAGGUGAAAUUCGUAGAUAUCAGGAGGAACACCAGUGGCGAAGGCGGCUUUCUGGACGGUAACUGACGCUGAGGCGCGAAAGCGUGGGGAGCAAACAGG
rnacentral:rRNA from 1 species